GAAAUGCCUCCAUGAGAUCCAACUGUAAGGCAUUUUCCCAAUUAGUGAUCAAGGGGAAAGGCCCCUUGUGGGUGGGACCAUCUCUGGGCUGGUAGUCUUG
rnacentral:miRNA from 1 species